rnacentral:rRNA from 1 species
GAUGAACGCUGGCGGCGUGCCUAAUACAUGCAAGUCGAGCGAACAGACGAGGAGCUUGCUCCUCUGACGUUAGCGGCGGACGGGUGAGUAACACGUGGAUAACCUACCUAUAAGACUGGGAUAACUUCGGGAAACCGGAGCUAAUACCGGAUAAUAUAUUGAACCGCAUGGUUCAAUAGUGAAAUACGGUUUUGCUGUCACUUAUAGAUGGAUCCGCGCCGCAUUAGCUAGUUGGUAAGGUAACGGCUUACCAACGCGACGAUGCGUAGCCGACCUGAGAGGGUGGACGCACACACGGGAACUGAGACACGGUACAGACUCCUACGGGAAGCAGCAGUAGGGAAUCUUCCGCAAUGGGCGAAAGCCUGACGGAGCAACGCCGCGUGAGUGAUGAAGGUCUUCGGAUCGGAAAGCGCUGUUAUUAGGGAAGAACAAAUGUGUAAGUAACUAUGCACGUAUUGACGGUACCUAAUCAGAAAGCCACGGCUAACUACGUG